UACAGAGGGUGCAAACGUUGUUCGGAAUUACUGGGCGUAAAGCGCGUGCAGGCGGCCUUGCAAGUCGGACGUGAAAUCCCACGGCUCAACCGUGGAAGUGCAUUCGAAACUGCGAGGCUGGAGUCCUGGAGAGGAAAGUGGAAUACUCGGUGUAGAGGUGAAAUUCGUAGAUAUCGAGUGGAACACCGGUGGCGAAGGCGGCUGGCUGGACCUGACCUGACGCUGAGGCGCGAAGGCGUGGGGAGCGAACGGG
rnacentral:rRNA from 1 species